rnacentral:rRNA from 1 species
UAGGGAAUCUUCCGCAAUGGGCGAAAGCCUGACGGAGCAACGCCGCGUGAGUGAUGAAGGGUUUCGGCUCGUAAAACUCUGUUAUUAGGGAAGAACAAAUGUGUAAGUAACUGUGCACAUCUUGACGGUACCUAAUCAGAAAGCCACGGCUAACUACGUGCCAGCAGCCGCGGUAAUACGUAGGUGGCAAGCGUUAUCCGGAAUUAUUGGGCGUAAAGCGCGCGUAGGCGGUUUCUUAAGUCUGAUGUGAAAGCCCACGGCUCAACCGUGGAGGGUCAUUGGAAACUGGGAAACUUGAGUGCAGAAGAGGAAAGUGGAAUUCCAUGUGUAGCAGUGAAAUGCGCAGAGAUAUGGAGGAACACCAGUGGCGAAGGCGACUUUCUGGUCUGUAACUGACGCUGAUGUGCGAAAGCGUGGGGAUCAAACAGG